rnacentral:rRNA from 1 species
GACGAACGCUGGCGGCGUGCCUAAUACAUGCAAGUAGAACGCUGAAGAGAGGAGCUUGCUCUUCUUGGAUGAGUUGCGAACGGGUGAGUAACGCGUAGGUAACCUGCCUUGUAGCGGGGGAUAACUAUUGGAAACGAUAGCUAAUACCGCAUAACAAUGGAUGACACAUGUCAUUUAUUUGAAAGGGGCAAUUGCUCCACUACAAGAUGGACCUGCGUUGUAUUAGCUAGUAGGUGAGGUAAUGGCUCACCUAGGCGACGAUACAUAGCCGACCUGAGAGGGUGAUCGGCCACACUGGGACUGAGACACGGCCCAGACUCCUACGGGAGGCAGCAGUAGGGAAUCUUCGGCAAUGGGGGCAACCUUGACCGAGCAACGCCGCGUGAGUGAAGAAGGUUUUCGGAUCGUAAAGCUCUGUUGUAAGUCAAGAACGGGUGUGAGAGUGGAAAGUUCACACUGUGACGGUAGCUUACCAGAAAGGGACGGCUAACUACGUG